CUACGGGAGGCUGCAGUGGGGAAUAUUGCACAAUGGAGGAAACUCUGAUGCAGCAACGCCGCGUGGAGGAUGACACAUUUCGGUGCGUAAACUCCUUUUAUGAGUCAAGAUAAUGACGGUAGCUCAUGAAUAAGCGCCGGCUAACUCCGUGCCAGCAGCCGCGGUAAUACGGAGGGCGCAAGCGUUACUCGGAAUCACUGGGCGUAAAGAGCGUGUAGGCGGGUAGAUAAGUUUGAAGUGAAAUCCAAUGGCUUAACCAUUGAACUGCUUUGAAAACUGUCUACCUAGAAUAUGGGAGGGGUAGAUGGAAUUUCUGGUGUAGGGGUAAAAUCCGUAGAGAUCAGAAGGAAUACCGAUUGCGAAGGCGAUCUACUGGAACAUUAUUGACGCUGAGACGCGAAAGCGUGGGGAGCAAACAGGAUUAGAUACCCUUGUAGUC
rnacentral:rRNA from 1 species